UCGAGAAUCUUCCGCAAUGGGCGAAAGCCUGACGGAGCGACACCGCGUGCAGGACGAAGGCCCUCGGGUUGUAAACUGCUGUCACGCUCUAGGAAUGCCAUGUCGUUAAUAGCGGCAUGGUUGACCAAGGCGAAAGGAAGUGGCGGCUAACUCUGUGCCAGCAGCCGCGGUAAGACAGAGGCCACGAACGUUGUUCGGAAUCACUGGGCAUAAAGCGCACGUAGGCGGCUAGGUCCGUCCAAUGUGAAAGCCCCCGGCUCAACCGGGGAAUUGCAUCGGAUACAGCCUGGCUUGAGGACGGUUGGGGUGAGUGGAACUCCUGGUGGAGCGGUGAAAUGCGUAGAUAUCAGGAGGAACACCGGUGGCGAAAGCGGCUCACUGGACCGUAACUGACGCUGAGGUGCGAAAGCUAGGGGAGCAAACGGGAUUAGAUACCCUCGUAGUCCCUGAGCGGGCUGGCAAGGCGCAU
rnacentral:rRNA from 1 species